rnacentral:rRNA from 1 species
AGUGAACGCUGGCGGUAGGCCUAACACAUGCAAGUCGAACGGCAGCACAGUAAGAGCUUGCUCUUACGGGUGGCGAGUGGCGGACGGGUGAGGAAUACAUCGGAAUCUACUUUUUCGUGGGGGAUAACGUAGGGAAACUUACGCUAAUACCGCAUACGACCUACGGGUGAAAGCAGGGGAUCUUCGGACCUUGCGCGAUUGAAUGAGCCGAUGUCGGAUUAGCUAGUUGGCGUGGUAAAGGCCCACCAAGGCGACGAUCCGUAGCUGGUCUGAGAGGAUGAUCAGCCACACUGGAACUGAGACACGGUCCAGACUCCUACGGGAGGCAGCAGUGGGGAAUAUUGGACAAUGGGCGCAAGCCUGAUCCAGCCAUACCGCGUGGGUGAAGAAGGCCUUCGGGUUGUAAAGCCCUUUUGUUGGGAAAGAAAAGCAGCAGGUUAAUACCCCGCUGUUCUGACGGUACCCAAAGAAUAAGCACCGGCUAACUUCGU